rnacentral:tRNA from 1 species
GGCUCUGUGGUCUAGUCGUAUGAUUCGCGCUUCGGGAACAUUCCCAUCUCUUCAUGAGAUUCAUUGUGCGAGGUCCCGGGUUCAAAUCCCGGCAGAGCCC